rnacentral:rRNA from 1 species
UACAGAGGUCUCAAGCGUUGUUCGGAUUCAUUGGGCGUAAAGGGUGCGUAGGUGGCGCCGUAAGUCGGGUGUGAAAUUUCGGAGCUUAACUCCGAAACUGCAUUCGAUACUGCGGUGCUUGAGGACUGGAGAGGAGACUGGAAUUCAUGGUGUAGCAGUGAAAUGCGUAGAGAUCAUGAGGAAGACCAGUGGCGAAGGCGAGUCCCUGGACGAUACCUGACACUGAGGCACGAAAGCCAAGGGAGCAAACAGG